rnacentral:rRNA from 1 species
UACGAAGGGGGCUAGCGUUACUCGGAUUGACGGGGCGUAAAGGGCGCGUAGGCGGUUUGUACAGUCAGACGUGAAAUUCCUGGGCUCAACCUGGGGGCUGCGUUUGAUACGUGCGGACUUGAGUUCGGAAGAGGGUCGUGGAAUUCCCAGUGUAGAGGUGAAAUUCGUAGAUAUUGGGAAGAACACCGGUGGCGAAGGCGGCGACCUGGUCCAUUACUGACGCUGAGGCGCGAAAGCGUGGGGAGCAAACAGG